rnacentral:tRNA from 1 species
GGAUGUAGCUCAGUUGGUAGAGUGCUUGCUUAGCCUGCAUGACGUCCUGGGUUCUAUCCCCAGUAUCUCCA